AGGUGCGCACCUUGUUCGUGAGCGGCUUGCCGAUGGACGCCAAGCCGAGGGAGCUUUAUCUGCUCUUCAGAGCAUACGAGGGGUACGAGGGGUCCCUGUUGAAAGUCACAAGCAAAAAUGG